rnacentral:misc_RNA from 1 species
AACAUACAAAGGCUUCGGCUGGCGUGUGUUUUGGCAUUGCUUGGACGGAGUCCGCUCUGUCCAACUUCAAAACUUAUAUCAAUUUAUCUGAAAACUUGAAAAUUUAAAACUUUCAACAACGGAUCUCUUGGUUCUCACAUCGAUGAGAAAGCAGCGAA